GGGAUACACCGCCGCUGGCCGGGCGAUGUGGUUUUUGUUUUCGGGUCCUAGGGAUUUUACAAGCAGUUGUUUGACCCUACUAAUUUCCAUCGGAUGCACAUAUUUCAGAGAAUAGUACUCAUCUUAUGGUUCUACUUGCAGGGAUCCCCGUGGGUUGAGGGCGUCGAGUCAAUGGAGUUGUGUGCGGCCACGGCAACAACACGCGUGGAGCUGUUCCCAGUAUGGUCGUGCAUUCAUUUUACAGUUAUAGUCACAUCUUUUGAGAAAUCUUGUCAGAGGAAGAGAUGAUGGUCUUUACAGAAUUUGAAUCACGGGAGAGUGAUAAAUAGAGGGAUGCUUAAUUUUGAGGAACCAAUGUGCUCCUGGUCUGAUCCAUAUUUCUGAAGGUCUUUUUUGGGUGGUCAUUCAGGGGCUGGACUUCUCCUUCAGGUUAAUGGUAUUCUUUCUCACAUGAAGCAUAGGAUUAUAACUACCGGGAAGCACAUGAUGUUGUUCAUGAAUUCGACAGUAAUUUUGGUGAGGAUGUGAAAUCCCACCUUCUGCUCCUUCCAAUCUUUCAAAUUGAUUUAUUCAUUGUUGUAGCUUUCCUUGAUCUUCUAUUCAUUCCGAUCAAAUUUCUCACCGCUUCUCCAAAUGGUCCACCCAAUUAAUAAGAGAAAAUAGGGAGAAGAAAAAUGUAUGACACAAGAAGAGAUACCUCUAGAAGCAGUGGAAACAGGUCUGCCUUGUAUCUCUUUCAUGACGGAUCUUGAAACUUGUACUGACAAGAGAACGGAGGAAGUGAAGAAAAACACUUCACAUGACAUCAUGAUAAGCUCUAUUCUGUUGUAAACAUGUUUGUAGUACCAUUUAUCAUCAAUCAUUUAAAGUGUCAUUAAGAGUAAAAUGACAUUCUCUAUGUGCUCUAGGUAAACUUUGAGUGGAUACACAAUUCCUGUUUUUUUUGUAUUUGGUCAAGCAGAAUAAUGUAUGAGAAAAUAAAGCUCUUUCAUGUAUUCGUGUUAUAUGUGGGAAUAUUAUUACUGGUUUUGCUACCAUAACAUGCAAUAUUGCAAGUUUGGCAGAAAUAAGUGACUACUGGUCAGUAUAAUCAUAUGAGGAUAAUAUCGGGGUACAAGAUCCUUUCCUGUUUUUCAUGGAGUUAGAGAACAACAUGGUGUGUUGCAUGUUGCACAUUCAGGAUUGCUACAUGAUUAGCAUGUGAUCUUUAGACAAGUGAAUGUCUAACUGACAUUGUCAAGUGACAGCGAGAAGAAGAACGUUUCAGCUUGUGGAGUAUCUUCCAAGUUAGAUAUACCAUCCCGCAAGGUAUGGGCGUUUUCAAGCUGUCCCUCGAGUUUUUCAUCAUGCUCUGCAAUGAGAUUUUCUACCUCUUCAUGAUCAUUGUCCUGACAAGCAAAGUCCAAGAUGGGUAGAUUGUCGUUCAUUCGCUUCGUAUCUGGUACUUACUUGCUUACUCUUUUUACUUGUCUGCUGAGUUCACUAUCAGAAGUUCAGAAUCACAACUUGAUGAGAACAUUCUGAGCUAACUAAAUAUAGCGCGCUUCUCUUUUUAUUAUACAUUCUUUGGAAUACUACAUUUAUAAAUUGUUACUCUUUGCUCUAAUUCUCAUCUUGCUGAGGAUUAAAUUCUUGGCAAGUAGUUUGAUCAGAUAGUUCUUAGUAGCGCAUUUUCCCAGUCACAAAAUUUUCCUUUAUCCCCAAGGAUAAGUUAGAGCACAAAAAUGAAAUCAGAAACUGGGGUGGAUAUUGUUAGGCAUGGCAUUGUUGUACAUCUAUGCCUGCCUUCACUAUGCACCAUAGCAUUCACGCGGAUAGGAUGCAACAUAAAUGUAUUGUAACAUCCAGAAAUAACAAGCUAGCUGAAAAGAUAUACAUACUAUUGACUUAACAGUUGUGAAAUAUUUGGAGUUGCCCCAAAGAGUAAUAGAGGUUCAGAGUUACAAUGGAAGCCACCACCCACUGAAACUGCAACGAGUUAACUGGGGGAAGCCAAGUUCUGUCCUUGCAUUGUUUUCUUCUACUAUUUUUGUUGUAUAUUAGUACGUCGGUUGGUGUGA